rnacentral:tRNA from 1 species
GGCCCCAUAGCUUAAUGGUCAGAGCGCUCCCCUCAUAAGGGAUAGGUUACCGGUUCGAGUCCGGUUGGGGACA